AGCUGCUUUCUGCACAGAUCAUAAAUACUCAGUAUUUUCUUCAGGGACUGGCCUAAACACUGAACCAUGCUCCAAAAUGAGACACUGGAAAGGUGAACUGCUUCAGCAGAGAGGCCCAGUCCUGCAAUUUUAGCCCUGUGGCCUCCAAUGGAAGUUUUACCUGGAUAAGUGAAAUAAAAACAGGACCUUAGGUAUCUACUUUAUGAGCAGAGAAUAGCGGGAGGAAAAUGAAGUAUAACUGAGACGAGCACAAAACCCACUAAUGGCUAUAGAUUCCAUGCCAUCAGAAAAAAAACAUAGGGAGCAGUUUUCCACAGGAACAUCUUGACAGCAGUGGCCAGUAAUGAAAUCGGAAUACAGCAAGCUCCUAGGUGGCAGAGGCAGGGGCCAAGGCAGGAGCUCCUCCUUUGCUCCCACCACAAGCGCUGGCUGCCACAGCUCCCAUUCACCGGGAACCGCACACAAUGGGAGCUGCAGGGGCGGGACCUGCGGGCAUGGAGAUGAC